GCUGAGUAGGGCAGUGCCCAUACUGGUGUCUCCACAGCAUUUGCCAGUUGUACACAAUCUGUUACUCCGAUAGCUCUGCUGCCCAGCUAGCCCUCCUGGUAAGACUGCUUCUCUUUCUCAUAUCCUUUAAAUGACUUUCAGGACUUAAGUUGUGGUUUUCUUCUAUCCCCAUCCCCAGAGAGUUGGAGAUAGCAUUGCCAGCUUCCUCAUUUUGCUUAUAUUGGAUUUUCUCUUGUCUGAACACUGUGCUUUAAUAAGCCCAAAGUAUUGUCUUGCCUGAUAAAAACUUCUGUUUCUUUGUGGUUUUGUGAAUGAAAACUGUGUAUUUGAUGCUUCUAAUGCUAUAGCUGUACUCUGCUUCAGGCAGUUACUUUAAAUUUUGAUUGCAUAAUAAAAAUGUGUAUAAUUUUCCUGCCAUAAAUAAUUACAUUAAUUUGAAUGCCAAAGAAAAAAACUUCCUGGGAAUAUUCUUCUAGUAUUUUGACAAAAUACCAUUUCAUUACAAGGUAUUUGUUUGUUGUUGUUUUUGGUUGUUUUUAUUUGUUUGUUUUUUAAGAAUUUGCUUCUUUGGGGAACAUGUUGUCAGAAUGAGAUGUCAUAAGGCAAAAAUGAAUUUAGAGCUUAUGAAUGGGAAUCAAGAUUCGUCAAGCAUCAAAAACCCAAUUGGUACAUUUAGAAAUUCAUGAUACUCUGAAAUACUAAAUUGUAGUAGAACGUGUCAGAAAUAUUUUGUGAUUUCAAACAGCACCCUAAAGAGUGUUUACCAGAACAGAUCCCAUGCUACAGUACUGUUAGCUAACCUUCCUUUUGCACAGGGCUGCCUGCAUCUAAUUAUGUUUUCUAGAGGGAGAGUAAUUUGCAGCAUGGCUAUUCACUACUGUCUCACCAUCAGUUCCAUCCUGAAACUCAGUGAAGAUCUGUAGCUUGUUGACUUCCCCCAUGAGAUUCCUUUGGACUACUGUGGCUUUCAAGCACACAUUGAAUGGUUUUGCUUUACUUAGGUGCGGAACAAAGGCUUGACUUCAUUUGGUGUGCGUAGCUCUCUGACUGGCAAGAAUUAAAAGUGGAAGAUAACACCUAGACUCUUUCCAUUGCCCAUAAACAAUAUGUAUGUGCCAACUAAAGCAAGGUAAAAUAGCAGGCAGAGCUAUGGCUCUCUGUGACAGCUUGCUAAGCUAGUCUGCUGAGGCUGCUUCCUUGACUCUUAGCCUUGCUUCUUAGCACUUCCACUUUGCUCACACAGACCUCUACCAGAACUUCCCAGUCAAAGAGAUUAUAAUUUUAAAAUUUGUUGAUGUUCCAUGGAACAUGAGAUGUUUUGCUAACUUUCCAUAAACUCUAGCCUUUAGACUAUACUCUAUAUGUGAGAGGGGAUCCCUUCCUCUGGGUCAUCAUAGAAUAUUGCAUAAGAAGGGCAGCAGGAGGGUCUGUUUUCCCUUGCUCACAUGGUCGCUGGUACUGUGAAUUCAGCUUCUUGACUAGUGUUCACUGCAUCUCUCUCUGGAUGUACAUAUUUUCUAUCCAAUUUUACUUUUUUUCUUUUAACUACUGACAAAUUGGCACAUAGUCGGUGAUUCUGUUGUUGUAGUUGUUAUGUUAGGAGAAGCUGCAGAUUGAAAAUUUACUAGAGGUCUUUGCAAAUUUGUCCUCUAUGGCAUAGUACUUGCUGAUGAUCUAGGGAGUAUCCUUUCUAGGGCCUCUUAGGUUCUCACCCAGGCUUUCCAAAGACAGCCUCUAUGCCUUACAUUAAUAUUGUGAAGUACAUCACUCUUCUCAUAGUCUGUGUUUGUUGGAAGUAUGUUCUGGUCCCAAAACCUUUAUAGACACUCAAAAUUUCCAGAUGUGUGGUGGUAGCAGAACACAGAAUUAUAUAUGAGAUAUAUUUUGUUUACUUAUUAAUACAUGGAGUAAAGGAGUUUUCUGAGCUCUAUUUGUGGGACAUUGGGUCACAAGGUGAAAUCAAAGUACCUGAAGUCUUUAAUUUGAGACCCAGUGCUACACUGUCUGUGAAUAUGCCACUCCCCAUCCUUUACUUAUAAAGUCAAGAAAGAGCACUGAGAUACAGGGAGACAUUUUCACAUUAGCAGAACCAAGACUUUUAUCCAAAGCAGCUACGACUAAUUUAAUCUACUUCUCUUCCUUUCCUUAAUCAGAAUUCUCAUAGAAGGAUUAAUUAGCAAUAAAGCAACAUGAGAGAAAGGGGAAGAAAGCGAGGGCAUAGAUAAUCCACAAACUAUAUAUAAUCAUCUCUGGGUAAUCAAAAGUUAACUGUCAUUCACAUGACAUUUUCUUUUAAAGCCAAGCAGAAAAUUAUGAUUUUUGGCACUAACUUAAUCUUUAAUUAUAGAGCAGUGCUGUUCUUUCCCUGUGUUAGUUCAGAGAGCUAUAAAUUAUAUUAGUCUAGGGCUUUUGUGUCAUAUCCUUUCCUUUUCCAUGAUUUAUAUAGUCAGAAUACUGACCUAUAAUUAAGUGUUCUUGAGAAUGGCCUACAGUUAAUUAAAUGCUGUGGAGUGUGUAGGGUGUGCCGUGCC
rnacentral:lncRNA from 1 species